CGGCGAGUGAAGCGGCAACAGCUCAAAUUUGAAAUCUGGCCCCAGGCCCGAGUUGUAAUUUGUAGAGGAUGUUUCUGGCGAAGUGCCUUCCGAGUUCCCUGGAACGGGACGCCAUAGAGGGUGAGAGCCCCGUACGGUUGGUUGCCUAGCCUCUGUGAAACUCCUUCGACGAGUCGAGUAGUUUGGGAAUGCUGCUCUAAAUGGGAGGUAUACGUCUUCUAAAGCUAAAUACCGGCCAGAGACCGAUAGCGCACAAGUAGAGUGAUCGAAAGAUGAAAAGCACUUUGAAAAGAGGGUUAAAUAGUACGUGAAAUUGUUGAAAGGGAAGCGUUUAUGACCAGACUUGGACAGGUUGAUCAUCCGUCGUUCUCGGCGGUGCACUCUGCCUGUCCAGGCCAGCAUCAGUUCGCCCCGGGGGAUAAAGACUUCGGGAAUGUGGCUCCCUCGGGAGUGUUAUAGCCCGUUGUGCAAUACCCUGGGGCGGA
rnacentral:rRNA from 1 species